CCUACGGGUGGCAGCAGUGAGGAAUAUUGGUCAAUGGCCGGAAGGCUGAACCAGCCAAGCCGCGUGAGGGAGGAAGGCGCUGAGCGUUGUAAACUUCUUUUGCCGGGGGAUAAAAUGCGGGACUCGUCCGGUCUUGAGGGUACCCGGAGAAAAAGCAUCGGCUAACUCCGUGCCAGCAGCCGCGGUAAUACGGAGGAUCCGAGCGUUAUCCGGAUUCAUUGGGUUUAAAGGGUGCGCAGGCGGGGUGUUAAGCCGGGCGGUAAAUUGGGGGGCUCAACCCCCGCCGUGCCGUCGGAACUGGGGGCCUUGAGUGCGGCGGAGGCAUGCGGAAGGCGCGGUGUAGCGGUGAAAUGCAUAGAUAUCGCGCAGAACGCCGAUUGCGAAGGCAGCGUGCGGUGCCGCCACUGACGCUGAGGCUCGAAAGCGCGGGGAUCGAACAGGAUUAGAUACCCGUGUAGUC
rnacentral:rRNA from 1 species